rnacentral:tRNA from 1 species
GAUAAUGAAGUAAAUAUACAGUUAGUUUCGACCUAAUAUCAGAGAUACUAUUUCUCCUUAUCU